UAGGGAAUCUUCCACAAUGGACGCAAGUCUGAUGGAGCAACGCCGCGUGAGUGAAGAAGGUCUUCGGAUCGUAAACUCUGUUGUUAGAGAAGAACACGAGUGAGAGUAACUGUUCAUUCGAUGACGGUAUCUAACCAGCAAGUCACGGCUAACUACUUGCUAG
rnacentral:rRNA from 1 species